CCUACGGGCGGCAGCAGUGGGGAAUAUUGGACAAUGGGGGGAACCCUGAUGCAGCCAUGCCGCGUGUGGGAAGAAGGCCCUCGGGUUGUAAAGCACUUUCAGUGGGGAAGAACGCCUGGUGGUUAAUACCCAUCAGGAAAGACAUCACUCACAGAAGAAGCACCGGCUAACUCCGUGCCAGCAGCCGCGGUAAUACGGAGGGUGCGAGCGUUAAUCGGAAUUACUGGGCGUAAAGCGCGCGUAGGUGGCUUGAUAAGCCGGUUGUGAAAGCCCCGGGCUCAACCUGGGAACGGCAUCCGGAACUGUCAAGCUAGAGUGCAGGAGAGGAAGGUAGAAUUCCCGGUGUAGCGGUGAAAUGCGUAGAGAUCGGGAGGAAUACCAGUGGCGAAGGCGGCCUUCUGGACUGACACUGACACUGAGGUGCGAAAGCGUGGGUAGCAAACAGGAUUAGAUACCCCUGUAGUC
rnacentral:rRNA from 1 species